UACAGCCAUAUCACGUUGAAACACCGGUUCUCGUACGAUCACCGAAGUUAAGCAAUGUCGAGCCUGGUCAGUACAUAAAUGGGUUACCGCUUGUGAAUACCAGGUGCUGUAA